rnacentral:snRNA from 1 species
AGACCUCUGUGGCUGAAGUAGAAUGGCACGGAAAAUAUAUUUCCCUCCUGGUAGGGGAGAUACCAUGAUUGUGAAGGUGUGCUGACCCCUGCGAUUUCCCCAAAUGCAGGAAACUUGACUGCAUAAUUUGUGGCAGUGGGAGACUGCGUUCGUGCUUUUCCCUG